rnacentral:rRNA from 1 species
GGCUCCGGCGCAAAGAGAGGCCCAAGUGAGAUUAGCUAGUUGGUAAGGUAACGGCUUACCAAGGCGACGAUCUCUAGCUGUUCUGAGAGGAAGAUCAGCCACACUGGGACUGAGACACGGCCCAGACUCCUACGGGAGGCAGCAGUGGGGAAUAUUGCACAAUGGGGGAAACCCUGAUGCAGCCAUGCCGCGUGUGUGAAGAAGGCCUUCGGGUUGUAAAGCACUUUCAGUUGUGAGGAAAAGUUAGUAGUUAAUACCUGCUAGCCGUGACGUUAACAACAGAAGAAGCACCGGCUAACUCCGUGCCAGCAGCCGCGGUAAUACGGAGGGUGCGAGCGUUAAUCGGAAUUACUGGGCGUAAAGCGCACGCAGGCGGUUUGUUAAGCUAGAUGUGAAAGCCCCGGGCUCAACCUGGGAUGGUCAUUUAGAACUGGCAGACUAGAGUCUUGGAGAGGGGAGUGGAAUUCCAGGUGUAGCGGUGAAAUGCGUAGAUAUCUGGAGGAACAUCAGUGGCGAAGGCGACUCCCUGGCCAAAGACUGACGCUCAUGUGCGAAAGUGUGGGUAGCGAACAGGAUUAGAUACCCUGGUAGUCCACACCGUAAACGCUGUCUACUAGCUGUGUGUGCCUUUAAGGCGUGCGUAGCGAAGCUAACGCGCUAAGUAGACCGCCUGGGGAGUACGGCCGCAAGGUUAAAACUCAAAUGAAUUGACGGGGGCCCGCACAAGCGGUGGAGCAUGUGGUUUAAUUCGAUGCAACGCGAAGAACCUUACCUACACUUGACAUGCUGAGAAGUUACUAGAGAUAGUUUCGUGCCUUCGGGAACUCAGACACAGGUGCUGCA